GACGAACGCUGGCGGCGUGCUUUACACAUGCAAGUCGAACGGUGAAGGUGGAGCUUGCUCCGCCGGAUCAGUGGCGAACGGGUGAGUAACACGUGGGCAACCUGCCCCUAACUUUGGGAUAACUACUCGAAAGAGUAGCUAAUACCGGAUAUGAAGUCUGUAGGCAUCUAUGGAUUUGGAAAGUUUUUCGGUUAGGGAUGGGCCCGCGGCCUAUCAGCUUGUUGGUGAGGUAGUGGCUCACCAAGGCGACGACGGGUAGCCGGCCUGAGAGGGCGACCGGCCACACUGGGACUGAGACACGGCCCAGACUACUACGGGAGGCAGCAGUGGGGAAUAUUGCACAAUGGGCGCAAGCCUGAUGCAGCGACGCCGCGUGAGGGAUGAAGGUCUUCGGAUUGUAAACCUCUUUCAGUAGGGACGAAGCGAAAGUGACGGUACCUAAAGAAGAAGCACCGGCUAACUACGUGCCAGCAGCCGCCGCAG
rnacentral:rRNA from 1 species